AUUGAUGAUGAACAUUAUUUCAAGGAAAUAUCCCACUACUUUAUCUCUGUAAAGACAUCCAUAGAGAAUAUUGGUUUGCCAUGGCUCUUUGAAACAGUUACUCUUGUCCUCAUUGUAGAGAUGGCGAUACUAAGGCAGAAUAUGGCUAGCCUGGACUUCUUUUUGUGGAGACUGGAUUCCAAGAUUGAAAGUAGAAGCUACAUGUUUUCUCCAAGCAGGGCUUUCAGACUUCACUUCUGCAACAUUUUAUUGAUGAAAGCAAGUCACAAGACCAGACUGAUUCAAGGGGUGGAGAAAUAGACCCUACUUCUUGAUGGAGGGAGGAGUAGAGUUACAUUGCAAAGGGAUCUGGACAAAAAAAGGAGUGAUUUAUUAGGAAUCAUGUUUAACAAUUUACCACAAUCCCCAGCGCAACUGCCUGUUAGCUGGAUCCAGAAAUGUCUACGACUACUGCAAUGCCACUUGGCCUUAGGGGUGAUGUGACCCAGUGUAAAGAGAUGGUGGUCUUAACCAAUCACAGUUAAGAUAGUUUAGUUUUGGAAGGUAUAAAAAAUAUGUAACAACAUGAAUGCACUUUUAGGGUCAGACAAGAGACUUGGAAAGAGCCUGCAAAAUGGAGGAGCCCUGAGGCCUAAGUCUCAUGAGUGUCAAUGCUUACCUGUAUCUAGACACUGGCAUCCCCCUUUUGAUAAGGCCAAGAUUGAUUGUUUUCCUUUUCUACCUACCCUAUAUCUAAUCCAUGUACAAACACUGUUGACACACAAAAGAACCCUAAAUUCAACAAUCUGUGAAGAAUUUUUGCACUAACAUGUUAGUUCAAAAACUCAACAUUGCUUGCUAAGACUAUUGCAAUAAACUCCUCUAUGAUCCCCUAA
rnacentral:lncRNA from 1 species